rnacentral:rRNA from 1 species
GAUCAAGGCGCCCGCCGGGGACCUAAACUCUUCUGAUUUUUAUCGGUUUUCUUCUGAGUGGCUUAUUAAAGCAAAAAAUGAUCAAAACUUUCAACAAUGGAUCUCUUGGCUCUGGCAUCGAUGAAGAACGCAGCGAAAUGCGAUAAGUAAUGUGAAUUGCAGAAUUCAGUGAAUCAUCGAAUCUUUGAACGCACAUUGCGCCCGCCAGUAUUCUGGCGGGCAUGCCUUUCGAGCGUCAUUUCAACCCUCAAGCCCCCCCGGGGGAUCGGUGUUGGGGACCGGCCCUGCCUAGCAGCGGGUUGCCGCCCCCUAAAUUCAGUGGCGGCCUCGUCGCAGCCUCCCUUGCGUAGUAGCUCUUUUGAAACCUCGCACCGGAGCGCGUCGUGGCCACGCCGUAAAACCCCAACUUUCUGAAAGGUUGACCUCGAAUCAGGUAGGAAUACCCGCUGAACUUAAGCAUAUCAAUAAGCGGAGGAA